GAAUAUGUAUGUGCUGUAGCAAUGGCUAUGUUUUAUAAAGAAGUAGACAAGAUUACAGAUGAAUAUUUAGUACUAGCCGCAUUUUGCUAUUCCCUGCAUUGCACACUUUUAUCCAUGAUCACUUAUCUCCACUUGAAUUUUGCAUCCACAAUCCUUUUCUGCUAAAUAUUUGAGUAUAGGCAUUGCUCAGGGUGGCAGAAAUGCCAUAAUAACAUGUUGUGAUAACAUGUUGUGGUGUCUUCAUUUUUAUAUUGAAAAAUUAUUUUUAGUUUUUUGAUAUGACAUGUGAGGAAUCCAUCCAAGGAACAGUAGAUGUUGAUAUUGAUGAUACAGGAUGGGAUACUGAUAUUGGUAGUACAGGAGGAAGUAAAGGCACUCAUUUUGAAGAUGUUGGUAGUUUUGAAGUUAUAGAUGUUCCUAGGGACAGUGGAGGAGGUGCUGUGGGGAAUAUUGAUGUUGAUGGAAGUUUUAACAGCAGUACAAGACUAACUACAGGUCAUAGAG
rnacentral:misc_RNA from 1 species